UCGCGAUGAACGAAGAUAAGGCGAUCUUAAGCAAACUGCUGAGAAAUUUCACGUUCACCCUUGAUCCUGAUCACGAGGUGAAAAAGCACGCGUUUUUAGUGAUGCGAACGGUCAACGGCCUAUACAUGUUUGCUGAGAAGCGGAGUCAAUGAGACGCUUAGACGUUCGAGGCCUGAUAUUACCCAGAUUGCUGCUGUGCAUUUGAAGACGGGAUUUAAGUUCUCGACAUAUGUGCAGACAACAGUGCCAAUUUCUUCCGAAGCUCAGAAAGUGAUUGGCAUCUCUUUUGAUGAUCAUGGCAUAAUGCGUGUAAAUGGUGGAAGUGUUGAUAGUGUAUCAUUUAAAACUUUUCUACAUGAUUGUUUGAUGUGGCUUGCAAAGUUUCCCAGAGCCAUAUUUGUUGCUCAUAAUGGGCGCAGGUUUGAUUAUCCGGUUUUGGUUAGUGCAUUGCUGAACACACACUGUUUUGAAACGUUUUGUAAUUGUGUAAGCAGUUUUGUUGACUCUUUGCCGGUUUAAAAAAAAUCGUAUCCUGGACAGUCACACAAACAGGAAGAUCUAGUGAACGAGUUCUCCAGGCAACCUGCAACGCCCACAGUGCUCCUGAUGAUGUUGAAGCACUGGGAUCUUUGCUUAAAACAUGUAAAAUUACUGACAAUAUGGCCCACAUCUUUACUGUUACUUCAAUCCAUAAUUCAGUUUGUUUAAGUCAUGAAAAGCCUUAAAGGCAAAGAACAUUAGAUUGUAAGACGUGCUGUUGCCUAUAAAAAGUCUAAAGCGACCAACAGCUGAAAACAUUGCGGGAUAUGGACUGGACUUGUGUCAUUUGAAAGCCAUAUUUUCUAGUUCCGGAGAGGAUGACUUUAGGGAUACUUUCAUUGCUAAAAACAAUGAGGGACUACGAAAAGUCACAAACGCAAAAAAUAUUUUAUGUGAAGUGGUCCCUAAAAUCGGUCAGUUUUUCAGUGACGAAAAGUGACGGAACGAGAUAAUAUGGCUUUCAAAUUAUACGCGGCCAGUCAAAAUCACGCAAUGGCUUUAUACUAAUACUAAAUUAUAUACAUCUAGUUGUCAUUAAUCUGGCUGUUUUUAUUAAAAUAUAAGUUGUAUAUUAUUGUGCUACAUGUUUAAAGAAACAUGAUAACUUAUACAAAUUCAAUCUUAUAUAAUUCAAAGUUUGCUAAAUUUCUUCACAUGUCAUGGUUUAUAACUGUAGCUUUUAAUAAGAAACUAGAAAACCCCCAAAAAGAAGUGAUAUACAAAUUUAUACUUAAAUUCAUUGCGUGAAAAUGAAUUGGGGUAGGCAUACUCAAAGUAAAAUUUCUUGAGAUAGGAACGGUAAAACUUUCAGAAAUUCAUUCAGUGUGUAGAAAAUAUGUUGUGUUAAACAAAUAUGUACAAUAUAUGCAUUUUAUAACACUACA